UAUUAUAAUGGAUCAGUACUUUUUCCCCCUAAAGCUGAAUUGUCAUCACUGAGGCGACUGUAUUUCAUUGGGAAUUCACUCUCCGCUUCACAGUCGACAGCUGCUGAUUAACACAAAACGGCAACAGAACGGCGGAGACAUAACAACAAUAACAACAGCCACCGAAACAGCAAACACAGAUAUGUCAGGCGAAUCACCAAUAGACCGGGCUGGUCUACUCACAAACACCCAAUUGGUCUCGAAGUACAUGGUCAGCUCCAGAUGCACUUGGUCGGCGGGUUUGGGGGUAUCCACAUGCUCCAAACUUACUCACGCGACUAUCUAAUCUCGCGGCGAACUACGCUUCAUGUGCGUACACGGUGAAAAACUUU